rnacentral:rRNA from 1 species
CUAAGAAUCUUCCGCAAUGGACGAAAGUCUGACGGAGCGACGCCGCGUGGGUGAAGAAGGCCGUGAGGUUGUAAAGCCCUUUUCUUGUUGAAGAAUAAAACGGGGAGGGAAUGCCCCGGAGAUGACGUUAGGCAAGGAAUAAGCCCCGGCCAAUUACGUGCCAGCAGCCGCGGUAACACGUAUGGGGCGAGCGUUGUUCGGAAUUAUUGGGCGUAAAGGGCGCGUAGGCGGUAGUAUAAGCCCGGUGUGAAAGGCCACAGCUCAACUGUGGGAAUGCGCUGGGAACUGUAUUGCUUGAGUUCUGGAGGGGAAGUUGGAAUUCCUGGUGUAGGGGUGAAAUCUGUAGAUAUCAGGAAGAACACCAGUGGCGAAGGCGAACUUCUGGCCAAGAACUGACGCUGAGGCGCGAAAGCGUGGGGAGCGAACA